rnacentral:tRNA from 1 species
GACUUCGUAGUGUAGUGGUCAGCACGCUAGUUGCGUAUUCCAGAGGUCCGUGGUUCGAGUCCCAGCAAAGUCG